GACAAAUGCACGCUGGAGAACACCCUGGCCCGACCGUGCGCCACAUGGUCAGAAACAAGUUUAAACGCUAUGGAGCAAAGGGUUACGCCGGUGGUUUUUUGCAACUAAAACGUAAAAUGGGAGGUGUCGAGGCCCGCGCAAGCAUUGAGUAGGGGGGUCGCCCGUCUCAGAAAGAGCGAUUUUCAUUUUCCGUUCGGAGGUGGAGGAGAAAGACCGUAGCAGCAGUAAGGUAGCUGCUCGCUUCCGCCGGCGGUCCAGGCUAGCAGUCGUAGACGAGAUGUCGUGCGUCGACGAGCAGCUACCGCGUCGGGAGGCAUCCUGGACAGCGACGGCGGAUGCAGUGGUGUUGUACUGCUGUUCCGCUAUCGUCCGUUGUCGAGGAACCAGAGUUGACACCCGGUGCUGCCGCGUACGUGCUUGCCACGGUGAUCGAAGCUAGCUAUUAGAUCGGCCCAUCACAGUACCCAGCUCUGGCUAUUUAAACGGCGAUCUAAUAGGUGCUGUCGUGCAUCGGGGCAACGGCCCGUCAAGUUAUGUUGCCGUACGGGAACGAAGCGUACGAAGCCCUUGCAAAUACUGAAUCACUGAUGCAUGCGGUGGUGCGCGGGGAGCGUUUGUUUUUUGUCUGGCAGAUGGGGCCGUCACAUUUCCUGCAUGCUUUUAGAUAAAAGUAAUGGUCGAAAAAAAAUCGAAUUUCAUGAUAUUUUCACGUUGCAGGAAAAAAUGUGUAACGGUCUAGCGUCUGAAAAGGGUUCAAUUACUGAGAUUGCUAAACUGAACGGUCAACAAAAAAAGACAAAAUAAAAGGUUUAUGAAGAAAGGAAAC